GUCUUAGAUAACUCAGUUGGUAGAGUGAAAGCCUGAAAAGCUUUAAGUCGAAAGUUCAAGUCUUUCUCUAGGCA
rnacentral:tRNA from 1 species